rnacentral:rRNA from 1 species
AUUGAACGCUGGCGGCAUGCCUUACACAUGCAGGUCGAACGGUAACAGGUCUUCGGAUGCUGACGAGUGGCGAACGGGUGAGUAAUACAUCGGAACGUGCCUAGUAGUGGGGGAUAACUACUCGAAAGAGUGGCUAAUACCGCAUGAGAUCUACGGAUGAAAGCAGGGGAUCGCAAGACCUUGUGCUACUAGAGCGGCCGAUGGCAGAUUAGGUAGUUGGUGGGAUAAAAGCUGACCAAGCCGACGAUCUGUAGCUGGUCUGAGAGGACGAUCAGGCACACUGGGACUGAGACACGGCCCAGACUCCUGCGGGAGGCAGCAGUGGGGAAUUUUGGACAAUGGGCGAAAGCCUGAUCCAGCAAUGCCGCGUGCAGGAUGAAGGCUUUCGGGUUGUAAACUGCUUUUGUACGGAACGAAAAGCCCCGGGUUAAUACCCUGGGGUCAUGACGGUACCGUAAGAAUAAGCACCGGCUAACUACGUGCCAGCCGCCGCAGUAA